rnacentral:rRNA from 1 species
UACGUAGGGUGCGAGCGUUAAUCGGAAUUACUGGGCGUAAAGCGUGCGCAGGCGGCGCGUUAAGACAGGUGUGAAAGCCCCGAGCUUAACUUGGGAAUUGCGCUUGUGACUGGCGUGCUGGAGUGUGGCAGAGGGAGGUGGAAUUCCACGUGUAGCAGUGAAAUGCGUAGGAGUAGUGGAGAUGGACGGAAGCAGCCAGGAUGGACCUCGAAGGGCCAGGCCUAC